rnacentral:rRNA from 1 species
CAGAGGUGGCAAGCGUUGUUCGGAAUUACUGGGCGUAAAGGGCGCGUAGGCGGCCAUCUAAGUCAGACGUGAAAUCCCCCGGCUUAACCUGGGAACUGCGUCUGAUACUGGACGGCUUGAGUAUGGGAGAGGGAUGUAGAAUUCCAGGUGUAGCGGUGAAAUGCGUAGAUAUCUGGAGGAAUACCGGUGGCGAAGGCGGCAUCCUGGACCAUUACUGACGCUGAUGCGCGAAAGCUAGGGGAGCAAACGGGAUUAGAUACCCCGGUAGUCCUAGCCCUAAACGAUGAAUGCUUGGUGUGGCGGGUAUCGAUCCCUGCCGUGCCGAAGCUAACGCAUUAAGCAUUCCGCCUGGGGAGUACGGUCGCAAGGCUG